CCCCUCUCAGGGUCGCACCUGGAGAGUUUCCAGUACUCUACCAAUACUGACUAUGGGAGGGAGAAUCAAGCAGGGGCCUACCCAUUCCAUUCUUAGCUUGUGCAGUGGCUGGCGAAUGGAAGACAACCUGCUACAAGC